rnacentral:rRNA from 1 species
UGCUGGAGGUAUCAGAAGUGCGAAUGCUGACAUAAGUAACGAUAAAGCGGGUGAAAAGCCCGCUCGCCGGAAGACCAAGGGUUCCUGUCCAACGUUAAUCGGGGCAGGGUGAGUCGACCCCUAAGGCGAGGCCGAAAGGCGUAGUCGAUGGGAAACGGGUUAAUAUUCCCGUACUUGGUGUUACUGCGAAGGGGGGACGGAGAAGGCUAUGUUGGCCGGGCGACGGUUGUCCCGGUUUAAGCGUGUAGGUGUGUGUUCCAGGUAAAUCCGGUUCACUUUAACACUGAGGCGUGACGACGAGGCACUACGGUGCUGAAGCAACAAAUGCCCUGCUUCCAGGAAAAGCCUCUAAGCAUCAGGUAACAUCAAAUCGUACCCCAAACCGACACAGGUGGUCAGGUAGAGAAUACCAAGGCGCUUGAGAGAACUCGGGUGAAGGAACUAGGCAAAAUGGUGCCGUAACUUCGGGAGAAGGCACGCUGACACGUAGGUGAAGUGAUUUACUCACGGAGCUGAAGUCAGUCGAAGAUACCAGCUGGCUGCAACUGUUUAUUAAAAACACAGCACUGUGCAAACACGAAAGUGGACGUAUACGGUGUGACGCCUGCCCGGUGCCGGAAGGUUAAUUGAUGGGGUCAGCGCAAGCGAAGCUCCUGAUCGAAGCCCCGGUAAACGGCGGCCGUAACUAUAACGGUCCUAAGGUAGCGAAAUUCCUUGUCGGGUAAGUUCCGACCUGCACGAAUGGCGUAAUGAUGGCCAGGCUGUCUCCACCCGAGACUCAGUGAAAUUGAACUCGCUGUGAAGAUGCAGUGUACCCGCGGCAAGACGGAAAGACCCCGUGAACCUUUACUAUAGCUUGACACUGAACAUUGAGCCUUGAUGUGUAGGAUAGGUGGGAGGCUUUGAAGCGUGGACGCCAGUCUGCGUGGAGCCGACCUUGAAAUACCACCCUUUAAUGUUUGAUGUUCUAACGUGGACCCGUAAUCCGGGUUGCGGACAGUGUCUGGUGGGUAGUUUGACUGGGGCGGUCUCCUCCUAAAGAGUAACGGAGGAGCACGAAGGUUGGCUAAUCCUGGUCGGACAUCAGGAGGUUAGUGCAAUGGCAUAAGCCAGCUUGACUGCGAGCGUGACGGCGCGAGCAGGUGCGAAAGCAGGUCAUAGUGAUCCGGUGGUUCUGAAUGGAAGGGCCAUCGCUCAACGGAUAAAAGGUACUCCGGGGAUAACAGGCUGAUACCGCCCAAGAGUUCAUAUCGACGGCGGUGUUUGGCACCUCGAUGUCGGCUCAUCACAUCCUGGGGCUGAAGUAGGUCCCAAGGGUAUGGCUGUUCGCCAUUUAAAGUGGUACGCGAGCUGGGUUUAGAACGUCGUGAGACAGUUCGGUCCCUAUCUGCCGUGGGCGCUGGAGAACUGAGGGGGGCUGCUCCUAGUACGAGAGGACCGGAGUGGACGCAUCACUGGUGUUCGGGUUGUCAUGCCAAUGGCACUGCCCGGUAGCUAAAUGCGGAAGAGAUAAGUGCUGAAAGCAUCUAAGCACGAAACUUGCCCCGAGAUGAGUUCU